rfam:TPA: Bos taurus chromosome 3, whole genome shotgun sequence.
UCCCUGGUGGUCCAGUGGCUAAGACUCCACACUCUCAAUGCAGGGGGCCUGGGUUCAAUCCCUGGUCAGGGAA